AGUGAACGCUGGCGGUAGGCCUAACACAUGCAAGUCGAACGGCAGCACAGUAAGAGCUUGCUCUUACGGGUGGCGAGUGGCGGACGGGUGAGGAAUACAUCGGAAUCUACUUUUUCGUGGGGGAUAACGUAGGGAAACUUACGCUAAUACCGCAUACGACCUACGGGGGAAAGCAGGGGAACUUCGGACCUUGCGGGAUUGAAUGAGCCGAUGUCGGAUUAGCUAGUUGGCGGGGUAAAGGCCCACCAUGGCGACGAUCCGUAGCUGGUCUGGGAGGAUGAUCGCCCACACUGGAACUUGAACACGGUCCAGACUCCUGCGGGAGGCAGCAGUGGGGAAUGUUGGACAAUGGGCGCAAGCCUGGUCCAGCCAUCCCGCGUGGGUGAAGAAGGCCUUCGGGUUGUGAAGCCCUUUUGUUGGGAAAGAAAAGCAGCAGGUUAAUACCCCGCUGUUCUGACGGUACCCAAAGAAUAAGCACCGGCUAACUUCGUG
rnacentral:rRNA from 1 species